GGAAGAAAUAAAACGUAAAGAAAAAAAAACAAAAACAUUCCGUUCCUUGCACUUUUGGGUCUUUUUUUCAGUAUUUUUUUGUGUCCUCUGAGCAUUUUCAAACAAGACAGGCAAUAAUUCUGUUUGUGACACUGGAAUCAUCUCCCUGUUAAUCGUGACGUGUGUACUUUCUUCUCAUAUCGUCUGGUGCUACUGUCCCUGUUUCCCAACCUCCUGACAUGGACAAUUUUAUUUUUCC